rnacentral:rRNA from 1 species
UGAUAGAAAUUUAAACACUUUUUAAAGUAUCAAUUGGAGGGCAAGUCUGGUGCCAGCAGCCGCGGUAAUUCCAGCUCCGAUAGCGUAUAUUAAAAUUGUUGCAGUUAAAAAGCUCGUAGUUGAAUUUCUGUUAAAAAUAACCGGUCUGCUUUUAUUAAAAGUGGUAUCUUGGUGUGUUUUAGCAAUAAUGUCCUUUGAAAUGUUUUUUACUUUAUUGUAAUAAGUCAUUAUUUUGAGGAUUUUUACUUUGAGAAAAUUAGAGUGUUUCUAGCAGGCUUACGCUUUUGAAUACUGCAGCAUGGAAUAAUAAGAUAGGAUUUUAGUUCUACAUUAUUGGUUUUAAGAACUAAAUUAAUGAUUGAUAGGGAUAGUUGGGGGCAUUUGUAUUUAACUGUCAGAGGUGAAAUUCUUAGAUUUGUUAAAGACAAACUACUGCGAAAGCAUUUGCCAAAGAUGUUUUCAUUAAUCAAGAACGAAAGUUAGGGGAUCGAAG